UGGUGGGCACUCUGUGGAGACUGCCGGGUUAACCGGGAGGAAGGUGGGGGAUGACGUCAAGUCAUCAUGGCCCUUACGCCUAGGGCUACACACGUACUACAAUGGUGGGGUACAAAGGGCAGCGAAACCGCGAGGGUCGAGCGAAUCUCAAAAAAACCCAUCAUAGUCCGGAUUGCAGUCUGCAACUCGACUGCAUGAAGUUGGAAUCGCUAGUAAUCCCGGAUCAGCAUGCCGGGGUGAAUACGUUCCCGGGCCUU
rnacentral:rRNA from 1 species